CCUUCAGAGAGAAUUGGUAAAUAUUUCUCAUCAGACACUAAGGUCUAUGUUGAUGUUAACAUUGGUCACCUUUUCCUGAAUUCCAAAAGAGAGGCAGGUAUAAAGAGGCAUGUCCCACCACCCCUCUUCCCAUCAUGGCCUAAACAAGUUUUUCAGGUUAACUUUGGAAUACCUUUGGCCAAGAGGAGGGUUCCAUUCAGAUGGUUGGGGGGAGCCUUAGAAUUUAAUUUUUGGUUUACAUUUGCUUUGCUAUGAUUCUGAGACUUGCACCUAAGUGAGAUUUCUUUUCCAGUGUUUUUUUUAUAUCUUGAGUUAAUUUUAGUACUUGACAUUUAUUUUAUUUUUUUAAGAGUCGAGGUCUCCCUAUGUUGCCCAGGCUGGUCUCAAACUCCUAGGCUCAAGGGAUGCUCCUGCCUCUCCCUCCCAAAGUGCUGGGAUUACAGGCCAUCACCCCUGGCCUGACAUUUCUUUUAAAAAUUAUGUAUUGCUUUAAGAUGUUUAAGCAUAUUAGCUCAGCAUUCUGUACUGUAUUUGUCCCACUUUAAAAAUUUUCCUUCUGGUCCAUUUUGCACUAUGCCUACGGCAUGUUUUCCAUAGCAUUAGCCUCCCCCCACCCCCCCGGCCCCAAUAGAGCCAAAACAGCUACCAGUGUCCCCUGGGAGUCAGGGAUGGCCUGGGCUGGUUCAGGGGACUGUAGCUGGAGCCCCUGGCUGGCUGUGUGAUUCUGCCCAGUCCCCCGCUCCCUGUCCGGGCCCUCUGUUCUCUCCUUACGGUGGGGAGAGGUCUGAAUGAGGCCCCAGCUCACGCACUCCAUUAUCUUGAGGCUGCUCCCACCCCCAGGCCCGAGGGAGACAGAGGCCUUUUGAGCUGGGGCUGGCAGGCGAGGCUGGAGUCCCAGGGCUACCAGAGCGUUGCGGAGGGAAUGCUUUGAAGAGGCCCCGCCCUUCCUGGGGCUGCGGCUCAGCUCCGGCCUCCCUCACCCGGCAGGGAUUCCCGUUCUAGGGAACAUGUGGUUCGUGCCAGCCAGUUGAUGUCUUUGGCAGCGGCUGGGGCCAAAGCCCGGGCAAGACCAACGCCUUCGGCACCCGGACUCAGGCUCCGUCCUCUCUGCCAGCGUGCGGCUACAAUGACUCGACAUGG
rnacentral:lncRNA from 1 species